UUCGGAUGGAAGCAAUAAACCUUAGCGGCGGACGGGUGAGUAACGCGUGGGUAACCUGCCUCAUACAGGGGGAUAACAGUUAGAAAUGACUGCUAAAACCGCAUAAGCGCACAUUGUCGAGUGACAGAGUGUGAAAAACUCCGGUGGUAUGAGAUGGACCCGCGUCUGAUUAGCUAGUUGGUGAGGUAACGGCCCACCAAGGCGACGAUCAGUAGCCGGCCUGAGAGGGCGACCGGCCACAUUGGGACUGAGACACGGCCCAAACUCCUACGGGAGGCAGCAGUGGGGAAUAUUGCACAAUGGGGGAAACCCUGAUGCAGCGACGCCGCGUGAGUGAAGAAGUAUUUCGGUAUGUAAAGCUCUAUCAGCAGGGAAGAAGAAAGACGGUACCUGACUAAGAAGCCCCGGCUAACUACGUGCCAGCAGCCGCGGUAAUACGUAGGGGGCAAGCGUUAUCCGGAUUUACUGGGUGUAAAGGGAGCGUAGACGGCUGUGCAAGUCUGAAGUGAAAGCCCAGGGCUCAACCCUGGGACUGCUUUGGAAACUGUGGAGCUAGAGUGCUGGAGAGGUAAGUGGAAUUCCUAGUGUAGCGGUGAAAUGCGUAGAUGUUAGGAGGAACACCAGUGGCGAAGGCGGCUUACUGGACAGUAACUGACGUUGAGGCUCGAAAGCGUGGGGAGCAAACAGGAUUAGAUACCCUGGUAGUCCACGCGGUAAACGAUGAAUACUAGGUGUUGGAGAGCAAAGCUUUUCGGUGCCGUCGCAAACGCAAUAAGUAUUCCACCUGGGGAGUACGUUCGCAAGAAUGAAACUCAAAGGAAUUGACGGGGACCCGCACAAGCGGU
rnacentral:rRNA from 1 species